rnacentral:piRNA from 1 species
CAGGAUCAGAUAAACCAUCUAAACAGU